rnacentral:rRNA from 1 species
GACGAACGCUGGCGGCGUGCUUAACACAUGCAAGUCGAACGAUGAAGCCGGAGCUUGCUCUGGUGGAUUAGUGGCGAACGGGUGAGUAACACGUGAGUAACCUGCCCUUGACUCUGGGAUAAGCGUUGGAAACGACGUCUAAUACCGGAUACGAGCUAGGACCGCAUGGUCACUAGCUGGAAAGAAUUUCGGUCAAGGAUGGACUCGCGGCCUAUCAGUUAGUUGGUGAGGUAACGGCUCACCAAGACGACGACAGGUAGCCGGCCUGAGAGGGUGACCGGCCACACUGGGACUGAGACACGGCCCAGACUCCUACGGGAGGCAGCAGUGGGGAAUAUUGCACAAUGGACGCAAGCCUGAUGCAGCAACGCCGCGUGAGGGACGACGGCCUUCGGGUUGUAAACCUCUUUUAGCAGGGAAGAAGCGCAAGUGACGGUACCUGCAGAAAAAGCACCGGCUAACUACGUGCCAGCCGCCGCAGUAA